UACGGCUAUAUCUCGAUGAAACAUCAUUUCCUGUAUGAACACUGAAGUUAAGUAACGUCGAACCUGGUCAGUACGUUGAUGGGUGACUGCUUGGGAAUACCAGGUACUGUAAU